rnacentral:rRNA from 1 species
UACGUAGGGGGCUAGCGUUGUUCGGAAUUACUGGGCGUAAAGCGCACGUAGGCGGAUAUUUAAGUCAGGGGUGAAAUCCCAGAGCUCAACUCUGGAACUGCCUUUGAUACUGGGUAUCUUGAGUAUGGAAGAGGUGAGUGGAAUUCCGAGUGUAGAGGUGAAAUUCGUAGAUAUUCGGAGGAACACCAGUGGCGAAGGCGGCUCACUGGUCCAUUACUGACGCUGAGGUGCGAAAGCGUGGGGAGCAAACAGG